rnacentral:tRNA from 1 species
UUUUAUUUCUGAUAUUUAAUUUACUUGUGGGGUAAAGUUUAAUCAGGA